GCAUGCAACUAAAUAAAAUGAUUGGAAAUUAGUGGGCCAAUCUUCUCAUUUUUAUCCAAGCAGUGGACAAAAUUGUUGUUCCUUAUCGACAAAGGCAUUCUCUUCCCAACAACCUUUUCCUUCUUCAUCUUGUAUAUAUUUUUGUUUAUAACUUUGAAAAAGUAGGAUUUUUCUUUUUCCAGAAUAAUAUUUCACUUAGAUUUGAUGUUGCACCC
rnacentral:lncRNA from 1 species